rnacentral:rRNA from 1 species
CACGUUGAAACACCGGUUCUCGUACGAUCACCAAAGUUAAGCAACGUCGAGCAUGGUCAGUACCCAGAUGGGUGACCACUUGCGAAAACCAGGCAC